rnacentral:tRNA from 1 species
AUCGGCAUGGGCAAGUCCACCACCGCCAACCUGUUCAAGGCCGGUGUUUGAUGCAGACGCCGCUGUCGCGCAGAUGUAUCAGCCGGGCGGUGAAGCCGUCCCGCUGAUC